rnacentral:rRNA from 1 species
CAGUCGCCGCGGGAAAACGUAGGUGGCAAGCGUUGUCCGGAAUUAUUGGGCGUAAAGGGCUCGCAGGCGGUUUCUUAAGUCUGAUGUGAAAGCCCCCGGCCCAACCGGGGAGGGUCAUUGGAAACUGGGAAACUUGAGUGCAGAAGAGGAGAGUGGAAUUCCACGUGUAGCGGUGAAAUGCGUAGAGAUGUGGAGGAAUACCAGUGGCGAAGGCGACUCUCUGGUCUGUAACUGACGCUGAGGAGCGAAAGCGUGGGGAGCGAACAGGAUUAGAUACCCGAGUAGUCCCUGUCUCUUAUAC